AGUGAGAGAAUGGCGCCAAAACUGUUUACGCAGAUAAAAUAAAGACGGAGCUGAAUCGGAUUAUUUCGGGAGCUUUUUGCCCGACAUACACAACAAGUCAUUUAGACAUUUGACACAGUUUUUUUAUUUUUUUCACACAUACAGAUUGGUUCUACGCAGUCAAUCCGUUUUGCAGUUCUUUAAACUGUUGUUUUCUCUUGCAAAUCACUGUUCACAUGCGUGCAGUGCUUUUGACCAUAUUUUGGCGGGAAAAAACGUGCCAAAAGUCGUGAGGUUUUCUGCCAUACUGAGCAAGAACUGAUAAAGACGGUUUCUGGGCGGUCUGGUGCCAAAUUUUACAUAUUGACAAGAAACUAAUGAGGAAUUUAAACAUGUAUAACAAGCACCUUGGGAAAACCUGUAAACCUUCUGAUGUAGCUAACCCUGACAUCCUUCUGCAUUUCUUGGAAAAACUUUUGACAUGUGUUAAGACUGCAUUUAGCCAAAGCUAAAUUAAAAUUAUGAAGGGUCUUUUGUUUUUUUGUUUUUUCAUAAAUGUAUUAUUUCAUUUACAUUGACCGUUGCAGUAUAUAAUUUUGUA